rnacentral:rRNA from 1 species
AUUGAACGCUGGCGGAAUGCUUUACACAUGCAAGUCGAACGGCAGCACGGGUGCUUGCACCUGGUGGCGAGUGGCGAACGGGUGAGUAACAUAUCGGAACGUACCCAGUAAUGGGGGAUAACUAAGCGAAAGCUUAGCUAAUACCGCAUACGCCCUGAGGGGGAAAGCGGGGGACCGAAAGGCCUCGCGUUAUUGGAGCGGCCGAUAUCUGAUUAGCUAGUUGGUGGGGUAAAGGCCCGCCAAGGCGACGAUCAGUAGCUGGUCUGAGAGGAUGAUCAGCCACACUGGAACUGAGACACGGUCCAGACUCCUACGGGAGGCAGCAGUGGGGAAUGAUGGACAAUGGAGGCAACCCUGAUCCAGCCAUUCCGCGUGAGUGAAGAAGGCCUUCGGGUUGUAAAGCUCUUUCGGCAGGGAAGAAACGCUCUGGGUUAAUAACCUGGGGUAAUGACGGUACCUGAAGAAGAAGCACCGGCUAACUACGUGCCAGCCGCCGCCGUAACAC